rnacentral:rRNA from 1 species
UGGGGAAUUUUGGACAAUGGGCGAAAGCCUGAUCCAGCAAUGCCGCGUGUGUGAAGAAGGCCUUCGGGUUGUAAAGCACUUUUGUCCGGAAAGAAAUCCUUGGCUCUAAUACAGUCGGGGGAUGACGGUACCGGAAGAAUAAGCACCGGCUAACUACGUGCCAGCAGCCGCGGUAAUACGUAGGGUGCAAGCGUUAAUCGGAAUUACUGGGCGUAAAGCGUGCGCAGGCGGUUUGCUAAGACCGAUGUGAAAUCCCCGGGCUCAACCUGGGAACUGCAUUGGUGACUGGCAGGCUAGAGUAUGGCAGAGGGGGGUAGAAUUCCACGUGUAGCAGUGAAAUGCGUAGAGAUGUGGAGGAAUACCGAUGGCGAAGGCAGCCCCCUGGGCCAAUACUGACGCUCAUGCACGAAAGCGUGGGGAGCAAACAGGAUUAGAUACCCUGGUAGUCCACGCCCUAAACGAUGUCAACUAGUUGUUGGGGAUUCAUUUCCUAGUAACGUAGCUAACGCGUGAAGUUGACCGCCUGGGGAGUACGGUCGCAAGAUUAAAACUCAAAUGAAUUGACGGGGU